CUCUAAUCAGAGGGUGUGGAGGGGAACUCGGCACAAAGUUCACAAAGCCGUUCAUUGUUUUUAAUACUGCACUGAGAGGACACACUGGACUCGACACAUUCUAAGCUUGCUACGCUAACACAGACGGACAGCAUCCUCUCAAGAAUGUGAGCGCCACCAUAGCUACCUGACGAGCUUGAGGCGUGAGCAGCAGGCAGUGAGCUACUCUGACAUUACAUCUGUCAUUAUCAUUCUUAUCUCCUGACAUAAUGAAACGAGUGGAUGAGGUGUGGUGGCCGCAAGCUUCUGAGGGAAUGAAGAUUUGCUCAGGAUCAGGAUGGAAAAGUCCAGACCCACCCGUCUUCAGAGGAAAGAAUUCCUCAAAAUACAUUCACAUUGCUGGAGGUUCAACAGGAUAUUGCUGAGGAUUUUCCCCGGUCUGCCUUGAGACGAACUCUUCAGAGCCAGGAUUGAGGAAUGUGUUCUCAUUGUCCACUGAUCGAUGUGAGCACACGCCCUCACAGAGCCCCCGUCUGCCUCACUUCAUCUACAGUAUCUGUCUACUUUCCUUCAGAAGUGACUACAAAAUAUACUGAGAUAAUGUGUUUCCUGAGACUCUUUCUGUUUAUAAUCCUAAUCUAAAUCCCUCAUUAGAAGCUUGUGCCCUUUGAACGAGUGGGAACCAGUACAGGAGAUUUGACCGUACAAAAGAGAUGAAUCUGUUUAUUUGAUAAUUGCGUGAAAAUGCAGAGAAUAGGAUACUAGUAAUAGGUCACAGACAAGACUGGACAGACCUUGUCAGGACCAGCAGAACUCAUGGAGAACAA